CCAUCAAAGUGGUCGUGAAAUGUGUGAUAAAUCUUACUCAUAUCACAGCCACCUUUGAUGAGCU
rnacentral:pre_miRNA from 1 species